rnacentral:rRNA from 1 species
UACGAAGGGGGCUAGCGUUGCUCGGAAUCACUGGGCGUAAAGCGCACGUAGGCGGAUUGCUAAGUCAGGGGUGAAAUCCUGGAGCUCAACUCCAGAACUGCCCUUGAUACUGGCGGUCUCGAGUCCGGGAGAGGUGAGCGGAACUGCGAGUGUAGAGGUGAAAUUCGUAGAUAUUCGCAAGAACACCAGUGGCGAAGGCGGCUCACUGGCCCGGUACUGACGCUGAGGUGCGAAAGCGUGGGGAGCAAACAGG